rnacentral:rRNA from 1 species
UGGGGAAUAUUGGACAAUGGGCGAAAGCCUGAUCCAGCCAUGCCGCGUGAGUGACGAAGGCCUUAGGGUUGUAAAACUCUUUCGUCGGGGACGAUAAUGACGGUACCCGAAGAAGAAGCUCCGGCUAACUUCGUGCCAGCAGCCGCGGUAAUACGAAGGGAGCUAGCGUUGUUCGGAAUCACUGGGCGUAAAGCGCACGUAGGCGGAUAGUUAAGUCAGGGGUGAAAUCCUGGGGCUCAACCCCAGAACUGCCUUUGAUACUGGCUGUCUCGAGGUCGAGAGAGGUUGGUGGAAUUCCUAGUGUAGAGGUGAAAUUCGUAGAUAUUAGGAAGAACACCAGUGGCGAGGGCGGCCAACUGGCUCGAUACUGACGCUGAGGUACGAAAGCGUGGGGAGCAAACAGGAUUAGAUACCCUCGUAGUCCCUGAGCGGGCUGGCAAGGCGCAU